UACGUAGGCAGCAAGCGUUGUUCGGAAUUACUGGGCGUAAAGAGUGUGUAGGCGGUGCUCUAAGUCUGUUGUGAAAUCUCCCGGCUUAACUGGGAGGGUGCGGCGGAGACUGGAGUGCUAGAGUGUGGGAGAGGUAAGCGGAAUUCCUGGUGUAGCGGUGAAAUGCGCAGAUAUCAGGAGGAACACCGGUGGCGAAGGCGGAUCUCUGGGCCUGUCCUGACGCUGAGGCGCGAAAGCUAGGGGAGCGAACAGG
rnacentral:rRNA from 1 species